GCCCGCGUGGUGGAAUGGCAGACACAGGGGACUUAAAAUCCCCAGCCCGGCGACGGGCGUGCCGGUUCAAGCCCGGCCGCGGGCACCA
rnacentral:tRNA from 1 species